GACGAACGCUGGCGGCAUGCCUAACACAUGCAAGUCGAACGGAGUUCUUUUAUUAGAUCCCUUCGGGGUGAAGAUACUAGUACUUAGUGGCGGACGGGUGAGUAACGCGUGGGUAACCUGCCCUUUUGUGGGGAACAACUUCGAGAAAUUGAAGCUAAUACCGCAUACUCUUAAAGAGUCGCAUGACUUUUUAAGGAAAGAUGGCCUCUGAACAUGCUAUCGCAAAAGGAUGGACCCGCGUCUGAUUAGCUAGUUGGAAGGGUAACGGCCUACCAAGGCGACGAUCAGUAGCCGGCCUGAGAGGGUGAACGGCCACAUUGGGACUGAGACACGGCCCAA
rnacentral:rRNA from 1 species